ensembl:ncRNA
GAAGCUCGUCUCUACAGGUAUCU